UCCCUGAAUGACUAGUGGUUAGGCCUCGGCACUCCCUGCCACGGCCCGGGUUCGAUUCCUGGCCAGGUAA